UACGUAGGUGGCAAGCGUUGUCCGGAUUUACUGGGCGUAAAGAGCGCGCAGGCGGUCGUUCAAGUCGCGUGUGAAAGCCCCCGGCUCAACUGGGGAGGGUCACGCGAUACUGAUCGACUCGAAGGCAGGAGAGGGAAGUGGAAUUCCCGGUGUAGUGGUGAAAUGCGUAGAUAUCAGGAGGAACACCCGUGGCGAAGGCGGCUUCCUGGGGCCAUCCUGACACUGAGAAGCGAAAGCUAGGGGAGCGAACGGG
rnacentral:rRNA from 1 species